rnacentral:snRNA from 14 species
CUUGCUUUGACAAGACAUCCUAAAACUGGAACAGUAUGGAGAUUAGCAGUGGCCUCUGGCCGAAAAGGACAUGCAGAUUUGUGAAGCUGUCAUAUUUUUU